rnacentral:miRNA from 1 species
CUCAGUUACACUUGACUUUCAGCUAAACAAUGAAUAAUUUUUUAGUGUAAGUAUGCCCCAUGCAAUAUUUGGGACAUACUUAUACUUAAAAAUUACUGUUUAUCUAGAAUUCAAACAUAACCAGGUGUCCUAUA